UACGAAGGGGGCUAGCGUUGUUCGGAAUUACUGGGCGUAAAGCGUAUGCAGGCGGAUCGUUAAGUCGGGGGUGAAAUCCCGAGGCUCAACCUCGGAACUGCCUUCGAUACUGGCGAUCUUGAGUCCGGGAGGGGUGAGUGGAACUCCGAGUGUAGAGGUGAAAUUCGUAGAUAUUCGGAAGAACACCAGUGGCGAAGGCGGCUCACUGGCCCGGUACUGACGCUGAGAUACGAAAGCGUGGGGAGCAAACAGG
rnacentral:rRNA from 1 species